GUUCUUCCUCAGUUCCUUUCACUGUAAGCAGUUCAAACCUCAAAGGGCUUAAUCUUGUUUAUAUAAUGUUAGCGCACAUUUGGGUUCAGCUGGCAGGGAAUGGGGGAAUGUGUUGGAACAGCUGAAGCUUUUCAAGGCAGUAUGCCCCACGCCCAACCUGAAGGCUAUUGCCCUUAUGGCAGAGAAGUUAAAAGGGGUGCAGAUUUCCUUGUGAACUGCCCAGUAUAAUAAAACAGAUUUAAAUUAGUUUGGCUUAUAGACAGGGCUGUAGACAAAAGCAAUCUAGGAGCUUUCAUACGCCUUUUCAGCUGCUGCUGCAGGUGUGGCUGGUAGUCAUUUCUGCUCUCGCUGUUUGGUUCCCCAGUGACUAUGGCUGUGAUUCUAUAUCUGCAUUCCCUGCAUGCCUUGACACUGCGCUGAGCUCCAGUUUUGAGACUUGGCAUUCUCAGCUAUUUUCGUCAAACUGACUUUUCUAUCAGGCUCAGAAGAACCCCUUCCCACUGACUUCCACAGUUACUCCUUGAGAGUCUGAAGUACAGCUGAAUGGCUUAACCAGAGCUGCUGAUGGCUUUUAGGGAAACUGGCUUGUGCUUUGAGACUUUACAAACUUGUCCUUGGCCACAAAGAGAUGCUGCUUUAUUCCCCUCUUCUGUUCUUCUCUGCUUUUGCUUGGUCUGUCUCUUCCACUCUUGCUCUGACGUUUGAGGACAUGAUGUUUCUUAAAAGCAGAGGUUUAGGCAUAAACUAAGCCCAUGAUCGUAUCAUUAACAACCUGAAAAGGGUAGCACCCUUGAAUUUUGUCAGCUGACAUGUUCAUAAUAGCGCACAAAGGUACCUAAGUGUGCCAUGAAUGCGGAAUGGUUUGUAGGAUGGCCAAUAUGUAAUUGUUUGCAGGAGGCCAGAGGAGCAGGAGGAAAAUUAGUAACUUUUCCUGAGGUACACUAAAGGGUUGCAAAUGACUACAGAGAAUUGUGAUUUUUACUUGCUGCUUUGUAUGUGGUAAAGUAGAGCUCAGAAGUUUUAGCCGACACCCAAGAGUAAUUCAUUUGAAUAAUGUUUUGGUCAAGCAGAAUGGUUGGCAUGUUUUUGGUGGUCAUCUAGAGUUUAUAUUUGCAUUGAGCCUUAGACAAACUUGGUGACAUUAGAUACUGGAUCUAUUUCAUUUAAGCCUCUUUCAAUCCUCCCAGUAAGUUUUGAAUCCUCUGGCUAAUUUCAGCUACUUUAGGAAAAUGUAAGUGAUUUCUAAAUGAAAACUGAAAAUUGUAUAGAAGAGGAGAACCAAAUUAGCAUCACUGUUGGAAGCAAGGCAGGCAGAAUUUGGCUGAUGGCAGUAGUCAGCAGUAGUCACUAUGUUUGUGCUGUCCAUUUAGACAGUCUUCAUAUGCUCUAGACUAGGUGUGAUGCAUGCUGCUGCUUUCUGGGUAGGCUUGCUAUACGGAAUGGUGGGGAAAUGGAGUUACUGUGGUGGCUGUUCCAAACCCUAUAACUCUGUUAUUUCUGCAGAUCAUGAAGCAUCUGCUUAUUGUGCACUC